rnacentral:misc_RNA from 1 species
UUGUUGCGAUGUCUCUAAUUGGAGCGACAGUGAUCACGACAUUCUCGGGACCUGUAUCGGACAUGCUUGGGAGACGUCCAAUGCUUAUAAUUUCAUCAGUACUUUAUUUCCUCAGUGGAUUAGUGAUGUUAUGGGCUCCAAAUGUUUAUGUGUUGCUUUUAGCAAGGCUCUUAGAUGGAUUUGGAAUUGGUCUUGCGGUGACACUUGUUCCUGUCUAUAUAUCCGAGACUGCCCCACCAGAAAUAAGAGGGCAAUUGAAUACAUUUCCACAGUUCACCGGUUCCCUUGGAAUGUUUUUGUCAUACUGCAUGGUUUUUGGAAUGUCACUGACACAAGCACCAAGUUGGAGGUUAAUGCUUGGGGUUCUAUCAAUUCCUUCUCUUGCUUACUUCUUUCUUGCAUUGUUUUACUUGCCUGAAUCUCCAAGGUGGCUGGUCAGUAAAGGUCGAAUGAAGGAGGCUAAACAAGUUUUACAGAGACUACGUGGCAGGGAAGAUGUCUCAGGUGAAAUGGCAUUGUUGAUGGAAGGUUUAGGUGUUGGAGGUGAAGUAUCUAUAGAAGAGUAUAUAAUUGGUCCGGACAAUGAACUUGCUGACAACCAUGAUGAGAAAGAUCAGAUCAAGUUAUAUGGAGCUGAAGAGGGUCUUUCAUGGAUAGCAAAACCUGUCACUGGACAAAGUACUCUAGGCCUGGUCUCCCGUCAUGGGAGUAUGGCAAACCAAAGCAUGCCUCUUAUGGAUCCGUUGGUUACUCUGUUUGGCAGUGUUCAUGAGAAGAUGCCGGAGAUGGGAAGCAUGCGAAGCAUGCUCUUUUCUAAUGUUGGCAGCAUGUUCAAUAUCACAGAGAAUCAAGGAAAAACUGAUAAUUGGGAUGAAGAAAGCCAAAAGGAUGAGGAAAAUCAUAUGUCUGAUGGUUCUGGGGCAGAAUCUGAUGAUAAUCUGAGAAGCCCGCUGCUCUCACGUCAAGGUACAAAUGCAGAAGGAAAUAUGGGACCUCCAACAUCGUUAAGCAUGAGGCAAGGCAGCAAUUUCAUGCAGGCAAAUGGUGUCGGUGAGCAAGCCAGCAUGGGUAUUGGUGGUGGUUGGCAGCUAGCAUACAGAAAAGAUGAGAAAAAGGAGGGAGCACUCAAAAGGAUCUAUUUACAUGAAGAAGGAGGCAGUGGAUCACGACGGGGGUCCAUUAUUUCUCUUCCAGGAGAUGCUCAUGCAGAUCAAGCUGAGUUCAUUCAUGCUGCUGCUUUAGUGAGUCAGUCUGUUCUUCGUGCUGAGAGCGUCUUGGGUCAACAGUCUAUAGAAGAAGCAAUCGAGACACAAUCUGAAACUGUUACAAAGAAGUCAGUCUGGAAAGCACUUCUUGAGCCAGGAGUCAAGCAUGCACUGAUUGUUGGAGUUGGACUCCAAAUACUUCAGCAGUUUUCCGGAAUCAACGGGGUUCUUUAUUACACUCCUCAAAUUCUUGAACAAGCAGGCGUUGGAGUUCUCCUAUCGAAUAUGGGCAUUGGUUCAGACUCUGCGUCUUUCCUCAUAAGUGCUGUUACAACUUUGUUAAUGCUUCCCACCAUUGGUGUUGCAAUGAGAUUAAUGGACUUGGCUGGCAGAAGGUGGCUUUUGCUGGCUACAUUGCCCGUCUUGUUAUCGUCACUUAUUGUACUAGUCCUUG